GGUGGCAUAGUAGAGUGGCUAAGACUCUAGGGCCAGAGAGCCUGGGUUCAAAUCCCAGCACUACCA
rnacentral:tRNA from 1 species